AAUUAACCAAGAAAUAUCCCACAAAAGCAUCCUCGAAGCAUUCGGAGCAGCAAGUUGUAUUCGGAAAACACUAAAUUGAUCCGCAACAAUCGAUCAACGACCCCAAAGAAAAAUGCGUUGCUAAUUCUCACGAUCGAAGCAAAUUAUUAACCAUCGAACCGGUUAACAAGAUGAAGAGGAACCCGAGCAACACACGACACUCUCGUGCAAGAUAUAACUUGUAAGAACACGUCACUCAUCUAGAAGAGGCGACGACGGCGGUUCGUUACUCUGGCUUUCUGGGAAACUUCUUGGAGGUCAUGACUAAUCCAUUCUGCGGCGGAGGAAACGGCGUUGAUGUCUCUGCGAACGACGAUUAUGAAGACGUACGAUUUAAGAGAAUAUACAGUCGCCUUGGGAAAUAAGUUAACGCUCCCGCUAAAAGUUUAACUGUAAGACCGUUAACUUAUUUUCCGAGGCAAUUGCAUAUACUUCGUAUAUCGUAAAUUGCUGUACAAUUCCAGCGAAGAAGGUUCUAUAGGUGAAGAUAAGUAGAAAUUGGAGAGUAACGAAAUCUUGUUGGAGAUCUUAUUUUUGAGAAAAAUAUAAGGUAUCUUAUUUUAAUCUAUUCGUGCAAUUAUAUUAUCUUCCAAGUUCCAAACUACUUAUUAUUCGAAAAAAUAUUUUACGUGAAACUUACUUUGUUCCGU
rnacentral:misc_RNA from 1 species